rnacentral:rRNA from 1 species
GACGAACGCUGGCGGCGUGCUUAACACAUGCAAGUCGAGCGGAAAGGCCCUUCGGGGUACUCGAGCGGCGAACGGGUGAGUAACACGUGAGUAACCUGCCCUUGGCUCUGGGAUAGCUCCGGGAAACCGGAAUUAAUACCGGAUAUGACUUCGGCCGACAUCGGCUGCGGUGGAAAGAUUUAUCGGCCAGGGAUGGGCUCGCGGCCUAUCAGCUUGUUGGUGGGGUAACGGCCUACCAAGGCGACGACGGGUAGCCGGCCUGAGAGGGCGACCGGCC